GGGCCAGGUCCUGCUGCUUGGAGCUAUGACCACCACGUUCCCCAGCUCUGCCCUGUGCCUGGGGCAGCCCAGGUCCUGAGGGUGCGGGGCACAGCCACUGUCAGGGACAGAAGCCCUGGUGAAACAAGGGGAAGUGGGGCCCCUGGAGGCUCUGGCAUUUCUUUCCCAUACAGAGCAGGGCCCACCAGGGCUCACCUUGGUGCCAGGUGGUGGGAGCCAUCCUGGGAACACUGAGCAAAGGCCCCCAGCAGGCAGGGCUGCCACGCCCACCUGAGCCAUCUGGGGUGAGGGAGAGGGGCCAGGGCAGAAGGAGGUGCUUGGGGAACUGGGAGGUGUCAGAACCCUGCCCAGGUCUUCCUGGAGGCUCAGGUGGGCUAGAACCAGACCACCCCAGUGCCAUGCCGCGUCUCCCUAGGCCCUUGUGUGGGGGCAUAGUGGCGUGGCAAUGGUGGGGAGGAGGGCUGACCCCAGGGAGUG
rnacentral:lncRNA from 1 species